UAUCCAUAUGUUUGAGCAGUAAUAAAAGUACAUUAACUCAAGAACUGUACUUUACAAAUGUUGAGGUACUUGUAUUUUACUUUUUUUUCAU